ACAAAAACAAGCAAAAGAAGGCAUCACAGAGAGAGAGGUAGAGGAGUCUAACAGGGGUUGCCUGAGAACACAUGAAUAUAAUAUAAAUGUAUUAUUUCCAAUGUGAUUCGCUGUUUCAUGUGUUCUCAGGUCGCCCCUGCUGGGCUUCCCUCUACCGUUAGAUUGUGUUCCCUUUUGAUGAGAUCAACGGACAUGGUUCAGCUAAUAUGAAAUUGGAAAUAGCAUCAUCAUAAUAUGAUCUCUCUUAUACACAAAAAAGGAGAUCAAGGAUAUGCAACAAAGAUCACAUUGGAUAAGUAUCAAAAUAGACCCAUAUUUUUUUUUUGAAGUCGUCAAAAUUCAUUAGGUCUCAGAAGAGGGAAAGUCUAAGUAAAUUAAAUAUGAUACCAUUCACAUGUAUUAUCGACAACUCCAAAAAGGCAGAGUACUCUGAUCAAUAAUACAAUAGUGAAAACAAAAUAACACCCAGUGAGCUAUAGCAAAAUAAAACAUCUAGAAGUUCAAUAACCAAAUAAAAACAAAAGAAAUGGCCAGCCAAAUCUCUAGCCUCUUGAACGCAAGCCUGAAUUUUCCGAUUGCUACAUCCAUGAAAGUGCAUCAAAAUAGUGUAUUCAGUCGAAACGUACCUCAUACACUAAUGACAAAAUAUUCUAUUAAAAGUUGUCAAUCAUUUGAAUGUGGUAGGAUUUGACAUAGCCUGUCGUUAUCCAAAGAGCAGGCGUGGAUAACGUGGAAAAUAUUUUUAAUACGUGGUUGACACCUGGCAGAGGUUCUAUUCGACCAUUGACCAGAGAAAUUCCCCUGACAUAACAUUUGGAUUUUAUAUACGACCAGCUUGGUCGUAUACUCCGUAUUUUUUGAGAAGAUCUUGUGCAAUUGUAAUCAUAUCCGAGAUUAUCUCCCAUGAUUCCCGAUUAUCCGAUUAUUUAGGAAAGAAUAUCUGUAACUAAUUCAUGUAAUCCUCCUUGAGCCUAUAAAUAGAGAAGAAAUAGCUCAAGGGAGAGACUUUUACUUU